rnacentral:tRNA from 1 species
GGCGUAGUUCAGUUGGUAGAACGGGGGACUGUUAAUCCCUAUGUCGCAGGUUCGAGUCCUGCCGC